rnacentral:snoRNA from 1 species
ACCCAUUUUAAAAGAACACAAUUGGGCCUUUUGCUGAUAACCCAUUGAGCUAUACAGAAAGAGCACAGCAAAAAUAUCACUUUGGGAAAAGUGGCAGUAGGUUGUGCUGUCCCACUUCCCUUGGUGAUGUCGCAACA